rnacentral:snRNA from 1 species
CUUCGCAUUCGUUUUCUAUCAGGGCCUUACUUAAGACCCAAAGAACAAUUUUUGGGGCCCGCUCACUGGAGUGUGUGGGCA